AGUGAACGCUGGCGGUAGGCCUAACACAUGCAAGUCGAACGGAAGCACCGUACGAGCUUGCUCUUCUGGGUGGCGAGUGGCGGACGUGUGAGGAAUAUAACCGAACCUAGUUUUUCGUGGGGGUUAACGUAGCGAAAGCUACUCCAAUAUAGGAUCUGCCGCUCGGGUGUAAGGAGUGGAACUUCGGACCUUGUGCGAAUGAACGCGCCGCUGGUGGAUUAGCUAGUUGGGGGGGUACUGGCCAACCCAGUCGCCGAUAGGUAGCUUGUCUGAGAGAACGAUCGGCCACACUGGAGGUGGACCACGGUCCAGAGGCCUACGGGAGGCAGCAGAGUGGAAUAGUGGACAGUGGGCGCGAGCCUGAUCCAGCCAUACCGCGUGGGUGAAGGAGGCCUUCGGGUUGUAAAGCCCGUUUGUUGGGAAAGAAACGCAGCAGGUUGAUACGCCGCGGUUCUGACGGUACCCAAAGAAUAAGCACCGGCUAACUUCGUG
rnacentral:rRNA from 1 species